rnacentral:rRNA from 1 species
UACGUAGGGUGCAAGCGUUGUCCGGAAUUAUUGGGCGUAAAGAGCUCGUAGGCGGUUUGUCGCGUCUGCUGUGAAAACCCGGGGCUCAACUCCGGUUCUGCAGUGGGUACGGGCAGACUAGAGUGAUGUAGGGGAGACUGGAAUUCCUGGUGUAGCGGUGAAAUGCGCAGAUAUCAGGAGGAACACCGAUGGCGAAGGCAGGUCUCUGGGCAUUAACUGACGCUGAGGAGCGAAAGCAUGGGGAGCGAACAGG